rnacentral:rRNA from 1 species
AGAGUUUGAUCCUGGCUCAGGAUAAACGCUGGCGGCGUGCCUAACACAUGCAAGUCGAACGCCCUCUUCUUUCGGGAAGAGGGAGUGGCGGACGGGUGAGUAACACGUAGGUGACCUACCUUGAGGUGGGGAAUACCAACGAGAAAUCGUUGACAAUUCCGCAUAGGUUCUCUUCGGAGAGCAAAGCUUCGGUUCAUCCG